CUCCCCUUCCCCUAUGCUACUUUGAGGGAUUUUUAAAAAAAAUACUUUUUUUUUUUAAAUUUGCGGGGGCGCAGUGGAAGGUGAGGGGGUGGAGAAUCAUCUCAGCUUGAGCAGCCUCCAGCUAAAGGUUCAGACUGCUUACGUCGGAGCUCCCCUUAUCAUUUCAAUGAAUGGCAACUGCAGCCUUGGUACUGUUAUAGCGAUGAAGCUACAGACGUCAUUGCCUCCUGUUGGACGCGAGAUGUGUCCAAGCAUCAUCUCCCUGCUUAAAGGAAAACUCUCUAACUUCCAGGCAGCCAGCAAGAGAGUCUUUUCGGAGAACACAUGCACCCCCAAAAUAUUUAGCACACACAAACACACGCACACAGAGAAAGAUGCAGGUUCUAUAUAUAGUUUGUAUGAAUUCAAAGUUACUGUCGUUGGGAGAAGGAACUGAAAUUUCCUGAUCAUCAACGGUUUAUCUGCACUGUUUUAUUAAAUGCAUCAAGAAGAAAAAGAAGACUCAAUCAUUAAGCAUCCUCGUUAGGAUUUCCUUCCUCCCACCUUUGAAGGAUGAUCGGCGUGGAAACCUACUUUAAAACCUGGAAGAUGCCUUCUGAAUGAAUGGAACAGCCCGGAGGACUCUUGAAAGGAAAGAAUCUGAAGUUGGGCCACUUGGUCUGCUCUUUGCAACAUGUCUUGUCCACUUCUCUAUCGAACAGAAGACCGAGUCGCUUUUCUUUCUCUUUUUAAUCCCUCCCUCUCUUUUUUAUUUAAGAACUUGAUUUGAAGCAGGAAACAGAAAUGAGCUUUGGCAUACUUUGGCGGAGUGGGGGAGGGGAAGGGGGGAAAAAAACCCAAACUCCCUGCACCGGCCAGAGAUGUCGAAGAAACGCAAAACCUUGGAGGGUGGUGGUGGUGGAGGAGGAGGAUCCCCGCUCCCAUCCGAGGAACCUACAGCCUUAUUUGGGGGCAGCAUCGAGGAGCAAGGUAGGGAGGAGUGAAAGGGGGGUGGGGGAGGAGAAAAAAAGAAAAAGAAAGGAAUCAAAGGAAAAAGGAAAUGUUUUGGAGUUGAAGGAUCCCAGUAUAGGAAUGCAUCAACUUGUCUUUCUCUUUAUUUCCUUGGGUCAAUAG
rnacentral:lncRNA from 1 species